GACGAACGCUGGCGGCGUGCUUAACACAUGCAAGUCGAACGGAAAGGCCCUGCUUUUGUGGGGUGCUCGAGUGGCGAACGGGUGAGUAACACGUGAGUAACCUGCCCUUGACUUUGGGAUAACUUCAGGAAACUGGGGCUAAUACCGGAUAGGAGCUCCUGCUGCAUGGUGGGGGUUGGAAAGUUUCGGCGGUUGGGGAUGGACUCGCGGCUUAUCAGCUUGUUGGUGGGGUAGUGGCUUACCAAGGCUUUGACGGGUAGCCGGCCUGAGAGGGUGACCGGCCACAUUGGGACUGAGAUACGGCCCAGACUCCUACGGGAGGCAGCAGUGGGGAAUAUUGCACAAUGGGCGGAAGCCUGAUGCAGCAACGCCGCGUGCGGGAUGACGGCCUUCGGGUUGUAAACCGCUUUCGCCUGUGACGAAGCGUAAGUGACGGUAAUGGGUAAAGAAGCACCGACUAACUACGUG
rnacentral:rRNA from 1 species